GACGGAGGGUGCUAGCGUUGUUCGGAAUUACUGGGCGUAAAGGGCGCGUAGGCGGCCGCUUGCGUCGGAUGUGAAAGCCCGGGGCUCAACCCCGGAACGGCAUCCGAUACGGGGCGGCUCGAGACCGAGAGAGGUGAGUGGAAUACCCAGUGUAGAGGUGAAAUGCGCAGAUAUCAGGAGGAACACCAAUUGCGAAGGCAGCUCGCUGGGACGUUACUGACGCUGAGACGCGAAAGCGUGGGGAGCAAACAGG
rnacentral:rRNA from 1 species